GUUUUAAUAGUUUAAUAAAAAUAUUGGUCUUGUAAAUCAAAGAAAAAAAUUUUUUUUUAAAACU
rnacentral:tRNA from 1 species